CUAAAGUAAUGGAUUGGAAAUCCAUUGAGUUUUUCCGAUGCAGGUUUAAAUAUUGCAGUCUGAGAGUCUAUGAUUAUACCUUGAUUUUCUUUGGGAAAGGUCAGUCACUGACUCAGUAAGAGAUGAUCCGGUAGGUUUUUGUGUUGAUUUUUUUUUAUUAUUAUUUUUAAGCCAAGCAUAUUUUCUGCCUCUCUCUACCCUUCCCUCAGUUCAAAAGCCACUUCUCACAGAGUUUUUGGCAUCUUCUGGGCACAGAGCAGGAUCUAUGGAUAUAAUGAAGUAACAGGAGCCCUCCAUGCCAUGGACAGGGGAAGAGGAUGGGACUCCAACCACAGACCUGGACUCUGACAAUGAUGACAAAUUUGAGAUCUUAGGGAUGAGGGCAAGCUCAUCUAUGAUUUCACUCCUAACUUUGCUGUCCUUUACACAGAGCAGAGAAACAUUAAUGCAGAAGAAAAGGCAUUUGAUCAAAGGGAAUGGCAAAUAAAGUGACAUGAAAGAUCCUCCCAUGCAUAUAUGAGGUAGAUUUUCUCCUAGUUACCAGACCACCAAUGAGGAACAGUGCUUAUAGAUACAGAGAAUACAGGUGACCAAGGAAUACACAGAGGACCCUCAUGUAGGGUAUGGAUACAGCUGAGGAAUAUGCAUGACGGGAUCAGUGUAUAUAUGUAGAAGGUAUUCAUGCUUGAUAUGGACACUUACCUUCUGUGUAUCCUUGUGGAUGCAUGGACCCCACUGUACCUUGGUUUUAAUUCUGGUUCUCUUAAUAAGUCUUUGUGAGAUUACGAGUGAAUCACAAACUCUCUGAACCUCAGUUUCUUCAUCCCUAAAUCUACAUCUCUAAAAUGUAAAAAUUCUAUAAUUCUAGAGAGAAGAUUUAACUGUAGAUAGGCAAUCAUUUGGAAUGAAAAAUUCCUCUUAUAUAGUGUUUCUAUGGCUGAGCAUCUACAGAGAUCCUACUUUUACAUCUUUUGUCUAAGAAGUUUGUUAGAAAAUUUCUAAUAAUUUCUGUUAAUUCCCUGAUUCUGAGUCUGUGGUUUUCCCCCAAUUUUGGCCAAAUCUUCCACAAAUUGACUAUGGACCAGGCCUCUUUGUAUGGUAAGA
rnacentral:lncRNA from 1 species